rnacentral:piRNA from 1 species
UGAGACAGGCCUUGGACAUGGAGUAUUUCGU